rnacentral:rRNA from 1 species
UACGGAGGGAGCUAGCGUUGUUCGGAAUUACUGGGCGUAAAGCGUACGUAGGCGGUUACUCAAGUCAGAGGUGAAAGCCCGGGGCUCAACCCCGGAACUGCCUUUGAAACUAGGUAGCUAGAAUCUUGGAGAGGUCAGUGGAAUUCCGAGUGUAGAGGUGAAGUUCGUAGAUAUUCGGAAGAACACCAGUGGCGAAGGCGACUGACUGGACAAGCAUUGACGCUGAGGUACGAAAGCGUGGGGAGCAAACAGGG